AAGAUAUUGAAUAUAGUUCCCUGUGCUGUACAGUAUGAACUUGUUGUUUAUCUGUUUCAUGUAUAUUAGUAUCUGUAAAUUUCAAACUCCUAAUUUGUCUCUUCCAUCUUCUUCCCCUCCAGUACCUAUACGUUUGUUUUCUACCUGGGAAUCUGUUUCUGCUUUGUAAAUAAGUUUGUUUGUCUUUUUUUUUUUUUUUAGAUUCCAUGUAUAGGUGAUAUCAUAUGGUAUUUUUCUUUCCCUUUUUGGCUUGAUUCAAUGAAUUUUCUCUUUAUAAUUUUUUCUCCUAUGCACCCCCUAAUAAUAAUAUAGGUAAAUAACGGACAUUUAUGUUUACAGAGUGCUUCCUGUCUUAUAAACAUUUUUCUAAGCAUUUAACCCACCUCUCUUUCAUUUCACAUUCACAAUUACUCUAAGAGGUAAUCUGUUGUGAAUCCCUUUAUACAAUUGAGGGUUCUGAGGCCCAGAGAGGUGCAGUGACUUGCCUGAGCUCACACAGUAGAAAGGGGCAGAGUCAGCAGUCAGAACCUGGGUAGUCGGCCCCCAGAACCCACUCUCGGUUCCUGUCCAUUCUGCUUCCUCAGGUUGAUGAGCUUCUGCCUGCCAAACCACAUUUGUUAAGUUAUAAUUACUUAUUUGUGCUUUUUUAUAAAAAUUGACAAAAAGCCUAGUUUCUUGCCGAUCAGAGCUAUUAUUUGCUGUGACAUGCUAGAAUUCCCAUUUGCUGAUUCCGGUCAAUAGCAGUGAUAUUUUGGGGUUUCGUUUUAUUUUUUGUUUUUGUUUCUGGCGUGAUCCUUCCCUAGAUAAGUAUGCAUUUCCAAUAGAUUUUAAACCAUUUCUGGAAAGGAGUCAAGACCUUCAUCGAUGGCUUUCACCAAUUAAAAAGCCUAUUUAUUGAGUCUCUACAGUAAUUUUAGGCAUCAGGGAAAAGAACAGUGACAAAAACAGAAAGGUCCCUGCUCUCAAGGAACGUACAAUUUACGAGGGGCAGGCAGAGGUUACACAAGGAGCAAAUCAACAGUGGGGGGGUGCUGUCAGCGGGGUAGAGCUGGCCAUGUGACUGGCACUGGCCGGGGGGGUCUGGCCUGUUGUCAGGGAGGGCUCUGAGGAGGUGACAUCUGAAGCCCUGCAGAGAUCUGGGCAAAGUGAUCCAGGCUUUGGAACAGCAAGUGCAAAGGUCCUGAGGUUGCCAGAGCUGGUGAAUGGGGGGAGAAGGAGGCAUGUGGAAGCGGGGAGCAGGUUUUCCAGAAAGCCAGGGUGAGGUGUGUGGACCUUGUCCUGGACGUGUUGGGGUGCUGUUCGUUGCAGCGCUGAGAGCCGGACAACAGCAUAACCUGACUUCUAUUUAAGUGGAUCAUUCUGGCAGCUGUGCAGCCUCCACUGGAUGUUUCUGGGUGACCAGGAGGCCUGCGGACGGCGGAGGAAGGGUUUUAAGCAGAGGCUGCCCCUGCCCUGGCAGAGGACUGUGGGAAUUCUGGCCGAGGAAAGAUGAAGGUUUGAACCCC